UUUUAUUUUUUUUUUAAAAGAAGUAGUAUGCUGGGAUUAAAACAAACAAACAAACAAACAAAAAACCCUCCUUUGCAAUGAGGCAUGCCAAUGCAAUGCAACUCUUGCCAAUUACGUAUACACAGAAGUCCCUGGGUGGAGCUUCUGGAAAACUCAACGUAGCUGAUGUUCCUUCUUGCCUGUUGCCUUUUCCUCCUUCUGUAUCUGAAAUGUAGGCAUGCCACUGGAGGUGGAGCAGUUUUGCAACUAGGAAAAUGCAUUUGAAAAUGAAACUACCUGGAAAGGAAGGCUUAGCUGGAAGAUGAAAGAUGACUGAGUCCAUGGUAGAAUCCCUUAGCUGCUCACCAUACCAUCCCAGGACAGUUUACCUCUAGCUUCCGGAUACGUGAGAAAAAGCAGAUGGUCUAAAUGACCAAAGCCUGUGCCAAGACGGUUUGAUUCAUUCUUUCGGAGGAGCUGACACCUUGGAAGUGUAAACAGCUGGAUGGCUCAGGAGAAUAAAAUCAGCUGAAUUGCUCUGCUCUAUCAGUGCUGUUGCAGAUUUUUGUUGUCACAACCGGCAGAGAGACUUUCCCAGGAGGCUCAGGUAUAGAAAGGCGUGAAGCACCUGAAAACUGUCAGCCAUUCUUAUCGUCUCUGCUGUCAUUGUCCUGAGGAGCGAGGGGGAAGAGCUGGAAGUGGAUUUGCCCGCCAUUCGGCAGGGUAUUUCAUGUAUUGUGAAAUCCGGCGCUCGCAGCAGCCUUGCCGCAGGGGAGCACAGUAGAUAAAUUACUGAGUUCUUGUGGCAUGCCACUCAUACUGCAAUGAAUGUAAGGAAUUUAUAAACGAACAACUGAGCAAUCACAAUGUAAGUGAUAUAACAAAUAUAUGUCCCUAGGGCUAUGGGGGUUCAGGAGGGACACCAAUAACUUCUGACAAGGUGCAGGGAUUGGGUAGAUUUCACAGCUGUGAUAUUGGAUGUAGGUCUUGUUGUGGCAGUUUUUAUUAACUUGGAGGAAUUUAGGACCAGAUACAUGGGUAGCAACAAUCUAGGUUAAAGACUAAUGGAACUCAAAUUCAAACAGGGGCAGCGGAGGUGUAUUUGAAACUUUUGGGAGGCUUGUUGAAUUGACUGCCUGUAGGGGCUGAGGGGGAUGGAGGAGUCACAAGUGGUGGAUAUUCCUGCUUGAACACUGAGUAAAUAUGGGUACAUUGGCUUAGGUAGGAAACCCAGGAGGAAAGGACAUUUAGGGCACGAUAAUGAAUUUUAUUCUAGACAUGGUCAAUGUGAGGUGUCCAGAUGCAAUCCUGGGGGAAUAUCCAAUGGAGGUUUGCAUAGGCAAAACUUAGAAACAAGCUCUGUGCUGAACAGAUACAUACGGGAGUGCUAAGUGUGGCAUGUAACAUCUUUUGUGGAAUAGUCCCUGGCUGUGCACCUAGCUUUAUCUCUUGCUAUUUACCUCUCUCGUUAUGUUUGCCAAGUUUAUUCAGCUACAUGCAGCUGGAUCCUCUCUCACUUCUGGUCUUUACAUGUACCCUUAAUUGUGCCUGAAACACCUAUUCUCUGUAAAUUGGCAGGGGUGGGGGGUGGGGAAGACCAAAAACAAAAGGAAACAAAAUAACUGUCUCAGUGAAAAACUGACAAAUACACUGGCUUAUUCAUAUAGUGAAAUACUAUUCAAUAGUUAACAUGAAGGAUUAGACCUUCAUUUGGAACACAAAAGCCUAGUGUUGACUGAAAACAACCAAGUUGAACUGGCUAUGUACAGCAUGAUACCAUUUUUAUGGUAUUGAAUACCAUACAGGUGUAGCAAAUAUGUAUAUGAGUAGAAGAACUGACAACUUUGAACAUGAUAAACAUGAUGUGUCUCCAUUUAUUCAGAUGUAUUUUUAUAGUCUUCAAUAGAGAUGUAACAUUUUGGCAUAGAAAUCUUGUGCAAUUUUAUUACCAUCCAUUCCCAAUCUCUCUCUUAUUAUCCAUCAUAGAUGCAGACCAAUGUUUCUUCCUCUGCUAGGGUUUCUCCUACUUGUACCACAAGAGUGGUUGAGGUUUUCUUCUUCAUGUUUCCAUGGCCCCUUUGAGAAUAAAGGCAAUAUCUUAUUCAUGGUGACAUUUCUGACUCUUCACCAAGGUAUGGGAUAUAGAUGAUCAUAAUUAAUAUUUGUUUUUAUUUUGUUUUGUUUUUAUAGAGAAAUCAGGUCUUGCUA